UACGUAGGGGGCUAGCGUUGUCCGGAAUCAUUGGGCGUAAAGAGCAUGUAGGCGGCCCGGUAAGUCCGCUGUGAAAGUCGGGGGCUCAACCCUCGAAUGCCGGUGGAUACUGUCGGGCUAGAGUGCGGAAGAGGCGAGUGGAAUUCCUGGUGUAGCGGUGAAAUGCGCAGAUAUCAGGAGGAACACCGAUUGCGAAGGCAGCUCGCUGGGACGUCACUGACGCUGAGACGCGAAAGCGUGGGGAGCAAACAGG
rnacentral:rRNA from 1 species